UACAGAGGUGGCAAGCGUUGUUCGGAAUUACUGGGCGUAAAGCGCGUGUAGGCGGCCCUGCAAGUCGGGUGUGAAAUCCCACGGCUCAACCGUGGAAGUGCACUCGAAACUGCAGGGCUAGAGUCCUGGAGAGGAAGGUGGAAUGCUUGGUGUAGAGGUGAAAUUCGUAGAUAUCGGGAGGAACACCAGAGGCGAAGGCGGCGACCUGGACAGUUACUGACACUCAACUGCGAAAGCGUGGGGAGCAAACAGG
rnacentral:rRNA from 1 species